CUGGCGGCGUGCUUAACACAUGCAAGUCGAACGAGGAUAUACAUGGAAAGCUUCGGCCGGAAGGGUGUAUUCGAGUGGCGGACGGGUGAGUAACGCGUGAACAAUCUGUCCCGGACAGGGGGAUAACACUUGGAAACAGGUGCUAAUACCGCAUAAGACCACAAUGUCGCAUGGCAGAGGGGUAAAAGGAGUGAUCCGGUUCGGGGUGAGUUCGCGUCCGAUUAGCCAGUUGGCGGGGUAACGGCCCACCAAAGCGACGAUCGGUAGCCGACCUGAGAGGGUGAUCGGCCACAUUGGAACUGAGAGACGGUCCAAACUCCUACGGGAGGCAGCAGUGGGGAAUAUUGGGCAAUGGGCGAAAGCCCUGACCCAGCAACGCCGCGUGAGUGAAGAAGGCCUUCGGGUUGUAAAGCUCUGUUAUAGUUGACGAAGGAAGUGACGGUAGGCUAUAAGGAAGCCCCGGCUAACUACGUGCCAGCCGCCGC
rnacentral:rRNA from 1 species